AUCGGGGGGGGCAGGUGUUACUCUUAGGGAUUGGGCGUAAAGGGCAAGUAGGUGGUCUUUAGUUCUUGGGUGAAACGCUCGGGAGAAGCUCUAGCAUACCCACGUACUGAUUUAAAUUAAAGACUUUGAGUUUUGUAAAGAGUGGCCGCACUUUCCAUUUAGGGGUUAAAUCCAGUGACAUUGAAAGGACGCGCAAAGGUGAAAACAGCUACUACGUAAAAACUGACACUGAGAGGCCAAAGCGU
rnacentral:rRNA from 1 species